rnacentral:lncRNA from 1 species
ACCAUAGCUAUGGUGAUUGCUGUGUUUCAAGGAUGGACAAACAUGCACAUAAAGGCCCCUGUGGUGCUGCGGUCUCUCUGGAAGGCUGUCCCCUGCUAGCAUCAGAGAAUCUCCUGUUCUUACAGGUGGAGAGAAACAUGAGGAGCAGACAGCAGCCCGUGGAAAGCGGAACAAGGACUUUGUACUCCAGACAAAGGCAGAAAGGGGGCCUGAUCCAUGAGUCCAGGGGUUGCCAUGACGACCGUCCUCCAGAAGCAAAAAUUUUAAGGCUACUCCGACUAGGCCAGUAGUGCAAAUGUCUGCAUUCCCAACUCUUCCUCCACCCUGCUCCAUCACCAGAAAAUAUCUUCAUAUUUUUUUCCCCUGGGGAGAAUAAGGGGAAAAAAAGGACAACACAGAUGACGUCAGGAUGGCUAGCAGAUUGUUGGUAUAACCCGGCUGUCUGCCCCCCUCUUUCUUCCUGCAAACUAAAGUCUGACCUCAUCCAUCAUUUAUGCCACAGAUCAGCUUUCUGGGCUUUCAAACUGGGAAGAAAGAAAGAACAGGACCAAGGAUGCUUUCUUACUCUCCUGUUUCAGCACUGAGGCAGAGGAUCCCUUGACAUGAGCACUCUUCACUGUCUUCCACAUCUUGCCAUGUUCUGUGCUUGAGAGUUGCAGUCUCUGAAAAAUAUGAGACUCUGCCCAAAGGUGAAAUGCAGUCAGCUAAGUUCUUGGGUGCCUUUCUGGAUUUGAGAACCUGUUUGGAAUCAGCCAUACGUUUCCGUCCACUGGGAAAUGGGGUUGACCUGCCUUAGCCAGGCCUCACAUGCCAUCCUGAUGAAACAUUAUUUUAGGGGCUGGCAGCCCUGAACUGGCUUCUGUUCUGCUGGCCCCAUAGGCUGGCUCAGUUCCAGGCUCACCUUUCGCUACCCUUGUGGCUGCCACAUUGCCCAGCUUUGAUUUAUCGUGUCUUCAGCAGAGCUGUGGGCCUAGAGUGAUUUAAUGUUGAUAUUAUAUGUCACACAGAAGAUGCCAGCAUCGCCAGCAGAUCUCAUGUCUCCACUCUCCAGCAGUCUGGAUUGAGGGCCCUAAAGAAGGCAGGUGACCCUAAGGCCCCCUCUUGGAAAGGGGCUGUUGAACGUCCUUUACUCUUCUUAAAAUUUCCAUUUGAAACCUGUUUUGCUGCAUGUCACCCCCUGCAGCCAAUAUUGAUGUUAAUCUUGGGCUGCAUAUGCAAUGUGACCUCGGAUGAAAUUGAACAACUGGGUAAUUAUCUGUGGACCUAUUUCUAAUGAAAUAAUUGGAAUAAUUGGAAUAGGAUUAGUAGAACUGCAGAGAGACCUGUUGCUCCUAGCUGGGCUCUUAAUGCCAAACAAAAGAAGCAACGUGUCAGUAAUUCAGUUGGUGGAUGCCUUGGAGCCAUUCAAGAUGCAUUUUGCUCAUUAGCCAAAUCUCUUCCUGCCCUCAUCCUCCCCCAACAUUUGUUUCAGAUGUGAUUUUCAUGAAGCAUGUCCCUGUGUCUUGUUUGUCUUUGGCAAACACAAGUAACUAUUAUAAAUAUAGCAUUGGAUCUCCCUGCUCUUUGGGGACCCUGAGAUUUAUAGUGCCAUGGUUGCUAAUUAAUUUAUGAUUCCUUCAUUUAACAAACAUGUUGAAUG